rnacentral:lncRNA from 1 species
GUUAUCGUAAAUGGUGUAUUAGUUAUUUACCUAGUUUCGUGUGCAUUAUUGUUAUCAGUCUUAUCAGUAGACUAAACUUCACCCCAUACACUUACAAUCAAAGUAGAUGCUAAUUCUCAGAAGAAAUUGAAUCAAGAAGCUUGUUAAAUCAAUACUGCAUGCUUAUAAUGUAAUUACAGUAGAUUGGAGUAAGAAUUGGAUACGGCACCAAAAGACUUACAGAAGUGGCUUAUUUUAUCAAUUAAACUAAAUCAAGAAACGUUGUUCAUGCUGAAGCUACCUUUGUAAAACAUGGGUUUUAUCCCAUCUAUUUAAUAAAUAAAAUCGUUGU